CUUGGAAAUAAGGCCUUAAGACUUUUGGCAGCUGCUUUUUCUUAAUCUCUGUAACAUCAAUACAUUUAAUCUUAGAUGUCUGUAUUUGUCUAUAUGUAACUUGUUUUUAUUCAUCUUAUUAAACACUCGUUUCAAGAUACAUUUUUUAAAAAUAUUUAAAACCUAUGAUUGUUUUAGUUUUACUAUCUGUGGUACCACUACAGCACACAUACCUGUAUACCAUGUGCAUGUGAUAUAAUCUGAAUGCACAUUAAGUUUCUCAUAUAUCAACUCACUCUGUGUCUGUCUGGUAAAAAAUCGUACACGGAAUAACUUCAAUAUAUAUAUAUCAGAUCACGCUGAAAUUUUGCUAAAUUCUUUCUUUUCCCUGACAACACAAAAACCAAUUUUAAAAAAAUCAACCAAUUAGUUAAUUAACUAUUGGUCAGUAAAUAUUUUGUUUGGUAUCUCAAACAAGGGAAAGAAAUUGUACUUCACUGAGCUGGUUGAAUUAGUCCUCCUUAUAGGUCUUGGCUGUAAAGUAAGUUUGUAACAAAUAACACAUGGCUAUACAAUUUCUGUUCUCACACACACCUCACUGGCAGAGUGGAUACAAUGUCGGUUUGAGUCAUGAGUUCGAAUUCUAGUUGUCCCCCCCCCUUAAAAAAAUUUCCCCCAGACACCACCCUCC